GGUUCUAAUGGGUGCCUGUGGGUUCCAAUGGGCACCAGCGAGUAUCAAUGAGCACCAGUGAGUACCAGUGGGCACCAGUAAGUAUCAAUGUGUACCAGUGGGUUCCAGUGGGUACCACUGAGCAUCAGUGAGUACCAGUGGGCACCAAUGGGUUCCAAGGGGCGCCAGUGAGUUCCAAUGGGUUCCAAUGGGUACCAGUGGGCUCCAGUGAGUUCCAAUGGGCUCCAAUGGGUACCAGUGAGUACCAAUGAGCACCAGUGGGUACCAGUGGGUACCAGUGGGUAUCCGUGGGUUCUAAUAGGCACCAAUGGGUUUCACUGGGCACCAGUGAGUAUCAAUGAGCGCCAGUGGAUACCAGUGGGCACCAGUGGGUUCCAAUGGGCUCCAGUGAGUUUCAGAGGGUUCCAAUGGGCACCAGUGGGUUCCAGUGGGUACCAGUGGGUUCCACUGGGUACCAGUGAGUACCAAUGAGCACCAGUGGGUAUCCGUGGGUUCUAAUGGGUGCCAGAGUGUUCCAAUGGGCACCAGUGAGUUCCAAUGGGUUCCAAUGGGUACCGGUGGGUUCCAGUGGGUGCCAGUGAGUACCAAUGGGUACCGGUUGGUUCCAUUGGUACCAGUGAGUAACAAUGAGCGCCAGUGGGUAUCCGUGGGUUCUAAUGGGUGCCAGUGUGUUUCAAUGGGCCCCAGUAUCAGUGAGCACCAGUGAGUACCAGUGGGCACCAAUGGGUUCCAAUGGGCGCCAGUGAGUUCCAGAGGGUUCCAAUGGGCACCAGUGAGUUCCAAUGGGUACCGGUGGGUGCCAGUGGGUACCAAUAAGCACCAGUGGGUUCCAGUGUGUACCAGUGGGUUCCAGAGGGUGCCAGUGAGUACCAGUGGGCACCAGUGAGUUCGAUUGGGUGUGUGUUAGUAACAGUGAGCACCAGUGGGUUCCAAUGGGUAUCACUGGGUUUAAUGGGUACCAGUGAGUGCCAAUGGGCCCCAGUGGGUACCUCUGGGCACCAGUGGGUUCCUGUGGGUGCCAGUGAGUACCAGUGGGCGCCAGUGGGUUCCAUUGGGUGCCAGUGGGCGCCAUUGGGUACCAAUGGGCUCCAGUGGGUUCUAAUGGGUACCAGUGAGUACCAGUGGGUUUGAAUAGGCACCAGUUAGUACCAGUGGGUAUCUAUGGGCACCAGUGGGGACCAGUGGGCACCAAUGGGUUCCAAUGGGUAACAGUGAGUUCCAAUGGGUUCCUAUGGGCACCAGUGAGUUCCAGUGGGUACCAAUGAGUACCAAUGGGUACCAGUGGGUGCCAGUGAGUAUCAGUGAGCACCAGUGAGUACCAGUGGGCACCAAUGGGUUCCAGUGGGUAACAGUGAGUUCCAGAGGGUGCCAAUGGAUACCAGUGGGUGCCAGUGAGUACCAAUGAGCACCAGUGGGUACCAGUGGGUAUCCGUGGGUUCUAAUGGGUGCCAGUGGGUUCCAAUGGGUACCAGUGAGUAUCAAUGAGCACCAGUGAGUACCAGUGGACACCAAUGGGUUCCAAUGGCCGCCAAUGAGUUCCAAUGGGUACCAGUGGGUUCCAGUGGGUACCAGUGAGUAUCAAUGAGCACCAGUGGGUACCAGUGGGUAUCCGUGGGUUCUAAUGGGUGCCUGUGGGUUCCAAUGGGCACCAGCGAGUAUCAUUGAGCACCAGUGGCUACCAGUGAGUACCAGUGGGCACCAAUGGGUUCCAAUGGGUAACAGUGAGAUCCAAAGCGUUCCAAUGGGCGCCAGUGGGUUCCAGUGGGUACCAGUGGGUUCCAGUGGGUGCCACUGAGUAACAAUGGGUUCCAGUGGGUGCCAGUGAGUAACAAUGGGUUCCAGUGAAAGCCAGUGAGUACCAGUGGGUAUCCGUGGGUUCUAAUGGGUGCCAGUGGGCACCAAUGGGUUCCAAUGGGUAACAGUGAGUUCCAGAGGGUUCCAAUGGGCGCCAGUGGGUUCCAGUGUGUGCCAGUGAGUACCAAUGGGUACCACUGGGUACCAAAGAGGACCAGUGGGUUCCAGUGUGUACCAGUGAGUUCCAAUGGGUACCAGUGAGUACCAAUGAGCACCAGUGAGUACCAAUGGGCACCAGUGGGUUCCAAUGGGUGCCAAUGGGUACCAGUGGGUGCCAGUGAGUACCAAUGAGCACCAGUGGGUACCAGAGGGUAUCCGUGGGUUCUAAUGGGUGCCAGUGGGUUCCAAUGGGCACCAGUGAGUAUCAAUGGGCACCAGUGGCUACCAGUGAGUACCAGUGAGCACCAAUGGGUUCCAAUGGGUAACAGUGAGAUCCAAUGCGUUCCAAUGGGUGCCAAUGGGUUCCAAUGGGUAUCAGUGGGUUCCAGUGGGUGCCACUGAGUAACAAUGGGUUCCAGUGGGUGCCAGUGAGUAACAAUGGGUUCCAGUGUGUGCCAGUGAGUACCAAUGGGUACCACUGGGUACCA
ensembl:lncRNA